AUAACCUUUAAAGAAGUCCAGAGAGGCUACUAAGGUACAUACGUUUGAAUGGCAGAUACUGCCACAUUUUCGUGUAACCUUGCUCUCGGGCAAGGUUUUUUCUAU
rnacentral:sRNA from 1 species